rnacentral:ncRNA from 1 species
AUUUGGUUCAUGUGCUUGGCUGAUAAGCCAAUGGUGCGAAGCUACCAUCUGAGGGAUUAUGACUGAACGCCUCUAAGUCAGAAUCCCGCCUGGAAAGCGACGAUGCAUUCGUGCCUCGGCCUCGAGAGGCGUAGCUAGACGGCCGCGUGGCCGUGGAAAGAGCCCGAUUCCGACCCGAGAGGCCGCGGCAAGAGGCGGCCUCGAAGUCGGUGGAUCCCUCCUGCUCGAAAGGCGGGGUGCUAAACCAUUCGCAGACGACCUAGUUGAAGAUCGGGGUGUCGUGAUCACUAGAGCAGUACAUCUCACUGCGAUUUGUUGAGAGUAAGCCUCAAGAUCUGUCGGUUUGU